rnacentral:lncRNA from 1 species
GGCUUGCGGGGAGGCGUAGCAACUUUAGGCAACUUCCCAAAGAGUUGAUGCUGGUGAAGACAUUCAUGAUUUAAACACCAGAUCCUGAAAUGUGUUAAAUCUACUUUGAAAUGAAUCUGCAAUCAGUAUUUCAAAGCUUUUCUGACACAUCACCUUCACUUUGGGAUGUGGAAUUUGCUAAGGAGUUAGCCACAGUGAAUGAACAACCCCUUCAGAACGGGUUUGAAGAGCUGAUCCCGUGGA